rnacentral:rRNA from 1 species
UACGAAGGGGGCUAGCGUUGCUCGGAAUUACUGGGCGUAAAGGGUGCGUAGGCGGGUCUUUAAGUCAGGGGUGAAAUCCUGGAGCUCAACUCCAGAACUGCCUUUGAUACUGAAGAUCUUGAGUUCGGGAGAGGUGAGUGGAACUGCGAGUGUAGAGGUGAAAUUCGUAGAUAUUCGCAAGAACACCAGUGGCGAAGGCGGCUCACUGGCCCGAUACUGACGCUGAGGCACGAAAGCGUGGGGAGCGAACAGG